GGGGUUUUGCCUUGCUCUGUAGCAGGAUUUUGGCCCUCUUCUUAGGAUCUCUCAAGCACACUUUAAUAACCUGUGUAGCAGCAAGACAUGGGCUACCAUUGUCCCCCCUGCUUUACUUGUGGCAGUUCAGGGUGCUGUGCUGGUAGUUUUGCGACAGGGUUAACAGUUUAAUUUUAAUAAGAGGUUAGACAAGGAUUUGCACAGAAAGGCAUGGAUAGGAUGAUCCUGCCUCAGGCAGGACGUUGCAUUAGCUGACCUCUGGAGAUCCCUUCCAGGCCUACUUCUCUGUGAUUCUAAUAUUUGUGCCACACCUUGCAAAGGUAAAGUGCCGCAUGCAUGUGUAUGUAUUAUUCAAAAGGUAAAACAUUGCUUGUGGUCAGUCCAUUCCUGAGCCUAAUGAUCUCCAUUUUGUUUGAAUUUCACAGGCUGUCUGCGAAGACGACAGAGAGGACUGAGUCCCUGUAUUGUCUGAAGACUUCCUCCCUCCCCCCACAGGACACAUGAGAGGAUGUUAGUGGUGGAGAUCAAGUUGUUCAGAA